rnacentral:rRNA from 1 species
AACGAACGCUGGCGGCAUGCCUAACACAUGCAAGUCGAACGAGACCUUCGGGUCUAGUGGCUCACGGGUGCGUAACGCGUGGGAACCUGCCCUUAGGUUCGGAAUAACUCCCCGAAAGGGGUGCUAAUACCGGAUAAUGUCUUCGGACCAAAGAUUUAUCGCCUUUGGAUGGGCCCGCGUUGGAUUAGCUAGUUGGUAGGGUAAAAGCCUACCAAGGCGACGAUCCAUAGCUGGUCUGAGAGGAUGAUCAGCCACACUGGGACUGAGACACGGCCCAGAAUCAUACGGGAGGCAGCAGUGGGGAAUAUUGGACAAUGGGCGAAAGCCUGAUCCAGCAAUGCCGCGUGAGUGAUGAAGGCCUUAGGGUUGUAAAGCUCUUUUACCCGGGAGGAUAAUGACAGUACCGGGAGAAUAAGCUCCGGCUAACUCCGUG